ensembl:lncRNA
ACAGUUUGGCAUACAUCCUAGAAGAUGAUUGCAUGAUUCUGAUUUUGGGAUACAGUUAAUGUCAUAUAUUGCUCAAAUGUCUGUAAAUCAAAGUACAGCUACAAAGUACAGGCAGCUUAUGCAUAGCUUCUAAAAAAGUAAAUUAGAUUGAGCAGCUGGAAAAGAAACAUCUGCAUACUCUCAAUAUAAGAACUUAGAUUCACUUAUACCAGCCAGCCAUGAAAAAUAAUGCAAGACUUUAUAUUAAUGUAUUGUAGGGUUCCUCACUCCCAAAAAAACAAUGGGGGGCUGGAGUGUGUCGAGAGAAGGGCAAUGGGGCUGAGGAAGAGUCUGGAGCACCAGUCCUGUGAGGAACAGCCGGAGGUGUUUAGCCUGGAGAAAAGGAGGCUCAGGGAGACCUUCUCACUGCCUCCAAUUCCCUUUCAGGAGGUUGUAGCCAGGUGAGGAUCAGUCUCUUCUCCCAGGUACCAAGGAACAGGAUGGGAGGAAACAGCCCCAGCUUGUGCCAGGGGAGAUUUAGGUUGAAUAUUUGGAAAUAAGUUCUUCACAGAAAGGGUUGUCAAGCAUUGGAAUGGGUUGCCCAGAGAAGUGGUGGAGUCACCAUUCCUACAUGGAUGUGGCACUUGGGGACAUGGUUAAGGGGUGAGCAGGUAUUGGUGCUAGGUUGAAAUUCAAGACUCAAUGAUCUCAGAGGUCUUCUCCACCCUAAAUGGUUCUAUAAAUUAAGACCAGUACAGCUGUUUCAGCAUAAUUUUCGAUGUUGGCAAUUUUGUUAUGUGUAGCUUUUCAAGUUUAACAGAUUUCUACUAAAUCAAAAGGCCCCUCAAAACCCCAGGGAGUUAACUGGGUCAAGUCUGUGCCAGUCAGAUCACACCAGUAACAUUUGGUACAAACAACAAUUAAAGUAGAAGGCAAGUCCUGAAGAUAAUUUGCUGCCUUUUGAUUCUUUUUUAUAUAAAUUCAGAUACAUUACCAACACUCCAUUUCCAUUUACUAUUGAAAAUAGAUGAACCUUCUUUGCUCCUUUUAACUGUUAUUUAUAUACAAGGUCCUCAUACAAAUGACUGUAAAUGCCACUAUGGCUGCGAUUAACUGCUCUCAUCACUGCUUGUAGAACAAUUUAAAAUAGAACAUAGGUUAAAAAAUUAUGUAACUAGCAGAAGUACAAACAUGAUUGCCAAGAUCCUACUCCUGAAGACAGCUGCAAAGGGAGUUUCCCCAAAUACACAUAGAUACUGAAAGUGGGAUUUUCCACAAAAGAUUUAUUUCCUUGGCAGAAAUUUUCAGUUCCAACAAUUUUACUGCUAGGCUGGUUUGUGAUUAACUGCACACAAUUCCAUCACUAAGGUAUUCAAAACUGAUAUAUUAGGAAGCACUGUUGGACACUAAAAUAAUUUCUGCUUCAAUGUCAAAACAAUUUAAAACAUUUUAGCUGAUGGACCAUUGAACUUUAGUAAAAGUAGCACCUAAUUAAAGGCUUUUAGAAAUGUAUUGGAAGGGGUCAAAUAUUUAUUAGUGAUUUUAAAGCCUAUCUGACAGGUACAUUUAACCAGCAGAUAUCUUGCCAUAUAACAUUGUCUGUUCCUAGGAAAUACUUUUUCUGCUCUUAGAAUUUUACAUAGGUUGAUUUGAAGUACAUCAAGUGUCCAAAGAAAAAAAAAAAAGACAUUUAAUUUUUUCUGAUACUAAGGCAUUCUGGCAAGAUAUACAAGAUCCAUGGGUUUAUUGUAUACUGUGCUUGUACAAGACUAAUGUAACUGAGAUCCAACACUACUAUAGCUAAAGAGAGUAUUUUUUCUAAAGAAAUACGCAAAUCAACAAUAAAAUUACUGAAUAUAAGCAAUUUUAAAACAUUCCUGCAGUUGGAUAUUAAAACAAACACAACCACAUAAAACUUAUAAUAUCCUUUUGAGUGCCUAUCAACAAAAAAUGCAGUGAGUCAAUUCAUAAACCCACUGACCCCAAUAACAAGCUACUCAUUGAAUCAGAAACAAAUGCAGUAAGCCCUGGUUUAGAGGCAGCAUUUGGUCAUGUCAUUUGUGAGUCCUUCAAGCCUGUGUUUCCCUCUCCUGGUGGCUGCAGGAACCAUAUGGUUAAGUAAAUAUACCUCUUCAAGCAAAAGGCUGUAGCCAGCACCAAAGAGGAAGCUCUACUUCUGCUAGACCCCGAAAAACAAAACAAAACAAAGCUUUUCUAUUUUUGUUUUGCUUGUAUAGAGACUUUAAGGAUACACUGCAAAGACUCACUCUGUACUAUACUGCAGUACAACACAGUAGGUGGUGCCAGGUUUUAAAUAAUAAUGCAGUGAAGCAUCUCAGAGUUUGCUGUUCUCAGACUUGGAAACUCUGACUAUGAACCAGAAUAUCCAAAUAAGCUAAUAACCAUGCAAGUGUGAUUUACAGAAUUAGAAGGCCCAACUGGGUUGUAUUACUAAUGGACUGUUCCCACCUCCAGCAGCUUUGAAGCUCCUUGUGCUCAAAGCCUCAUGCAGGUAAGUAGGUGCACCAGAAACAUGGAUUCCUUGUUCCAGUUACUGUUCCUUUUUAAAUCACCAUAUUAACUCUCCAAAGGAUGUGGUAAAGCAUAAGUAUUUUACCACUCCCACCACACAAAACACUGGAUCAAAAGACUGAAACAGGUAAGGGCAUGGUUGACAAUAACCAGAAUUUAAGGCUACCGUGUAUUUCGUCACUUAGGUAAAUAUUACAUUUGGGUUUAGGUGGGUUUUUGCUUUGUUUUGUUUUUCUUAGCAAGUACCAGAAAGAAGGAACUCUGUAAGCUCAUGCUUACUUUCUACAAAAGAUGAAUUAAAUUAUAAACACCACAUCAUGUGUAGUUAGGAUUUCAAGUGAAGAUUUUAAAAUUAAAACAAAUGUACACUGCAAAACUGCUCCAGAAAGACAGCAGUACAGAAACUGUUUUAACCUGGAGGACAUGAGAGGGAACAGUCAAUUCAUAUCACAUAAAAUAACCAUAAAAUGUAUAAUCUCAUCCAAUUGGCUUCUUUUACAAGAUAAUUUGGACAAUGGCCUUUUCUAUUAUCAUUUCUUUAUGGAAAUCACUGCUUCCUUCAGAAGGAUGACUAAAAAGAAAGAAAUUCACUCCCCCUAAAUCUUGUUUAAAUGAACUCCAACAGUAAGGAUUAGCCUGACAUUGACUCAAAUCUCCAGAGCCAGAGGACUGCAUUCAAAAGUGAGCUCACACAGGGCUAUUUUCAAGCACAGAAGACAUUCAUAUGCAGUAUUUCAUAAGACAUGAACAAAAAACAGUCAUAUUUUACACCACAAACCAGUUUGCCUAAUCAAACUUAUUACUACCAUGGUGCCAGAAGUUUGCAGCAAAGGCUUUCAAAUAGGUACAAACCCCUGGCAUAAUAUUAUGAAAAUAACAAACUCCUGACAGUAAGAUAGAACAAAGGCAUGGAUCCAAAACCCAAAUUCUAGAUUCUUAUUUCCAUUUGACCUUGAUGUCGUGUAGCUCUUCUCAAAUCAGCUCCUUUCCCGACCUGUCCUGUAUGCCAAGACACAAGCAUUAUAAAGGUGUUUAUAAGAGUAUAACUUCUUCAUUCUGGAGAAAGGACCUCAGAACACUACAUAUAAUAGGAAUGGAUGCAAUGGUACAGCACAUGUGAAUCACAACCUUUGCUAGAUUGGUAAUCAUUAAUAUUUCAGAGAAGGAAAACUAAGGAAAAAAAAAAAAAAAA